AGAUCGGUACCGAUGGAAUAGCACUGGCUAACUAACGUGCCAGGCAGGCGCGUUAUUACGGUAGGGUGCGAGCCGUUAUUCGGAACUACUUGGGCCGUAAAGCGUGGCGCAGGCGGUUUGCUAAGACCGAUGUGAAAUCCCCGGGGCUCAAACCUGGGAACUGCAUUUGGUGACUGGGCAGGGCUAGAGUAUGGCAGGGGGGGGGUAGAAUUGCACGUGUAGCAGUGAAAUGCGUAGAGAUGUGGAGGGAAUACCGAUGGCGAAAGGCAGCCCCGUGGGCCAAUACUGACGCUCAUGCACGAAAGCGUGGGGAGCAAACAGGAUUAGAUACCUGGUAGUCCACGCCCUAAACGAUGUCAACUAGUUGUUGGGGAUUCAUUUCCUUAGUAACGUAGCUAACGCGUGAAGUUGACCGCCUGGGGAGUACGGUCGCAAGAUUAAAACUCAAAGGAAUUGACGGGGACCCGCACAAGCGGUGGAUGAUGUGGAUUAAUUCGAUGCAACGCGAAAAACCUUACCUACCCUUGACAUGGUCGGAAUCCCGCUGAGAGGUGGGAGUGCUCGAAAGAGAACCGGCGCACAGGUGCUGCAUGGCUGUCGUCAGCUCGUGUCGUGAGAUGUUGGGUUAAGUCCCGCAACGAGCGCAACCCUUGUCCUUAGUUGCUACGCAAGAGCACUCUAAGGAGACUGCCGGUGACAAACCGGAGGAAGGUGGGGAUGACGUCAAGUCCUCAUGGCCCUUAUGGGUAGGGCUUCACACGUCAUACAAUGGUCGGAACAGAGGGUUGCCAACCCGCGAGGGGGAGCUAAUCCCAGAAAACCGAUCGUAGUCCGGAUUGCACUCUGCAACUCGAGUGCAUGAAGCUGGAAUCGCUAGUAAUCGCGGAUCAGCAUGCCGCGGUGAAUACGUUCCCGGGUCUUGUACACACCGCCCGUCACACCAUGGGAGUGGGUUUUACCAGAAGUGGCUAGUCUAACCGCAAGGAGGACGGUCACCACGGUAGGAUUCAUGACUGGGGUGAAGUCGUAACAAGGUAACAC
rnacentral:rRNA from 1 species